CCCCCUCCAGGGACAUCCCCCCCUUUGUCACCCUCCACACGUAUGCAAUGAAACUGAAGGGCCUGCCUCGCCUCAGCUUAGUCUGCCUGUGACUCCGCGAGUGGCUGUAACGGCUUAGUAACGGUGACUCCGGACACAAGAACACACAACAACCGCAACACACACGACGCACAGCAGAAAGAUGAUGCCAAGCCGUGCCACGAGGACGAGCACGGUGCUGACCCUUCGCCUCCUGCUGGCGGUGCUGGCGGUGGGGCUGGUGGUGGGGGCAACCGCUGCUUACGCCCCGCACGCACCUGUUGAACGCUCGAGGAGGCAGCUGGGAGAACAGAGGGAACCAGAGGAUGACAAACCCGUCGUGACGCCGGGGGGAGGUCCUCCGUCAGUCGGGAAAGACGAGGGAGGUCAGCCGUCAGCCGGAACAAACAUAGGUGGUCAUCUGUCACCCGCGUCAGAUUUACUGAAGACCGUCGAUUUGCUGUUACAACUAUAGGCGAACGGGACAACGGAACGGAGAUGAGCACCGCCGCCACGCGCAGCUAUAGUGUAUGCUCUCAACUUUACUUUUACCUUCUAUCCAAGGCGAAGUCUAUAACGUUUGCACAUCUCUACACAACAAGACUACAAGAGGCCAAUCCGGCAACAAACGGCAGCUCUUGAGAAUUGGUUAUGUAUCAUCGUCCCUCCCCAUUCAUAACAUUAUCUAACUUUAAUUUGAAAUGUUUACCGUGUUUACAUCACCUAAUGCACGUAGUUUGUUCGGCUCGUUCACUACGCUGUUCAUGCACCAGUUUUGACCUAACUCCUUCCUGAAAUACGAUAUGGAACAAGAGAACAAAAUCUGCAAAAAAGUGUACCAGGAUGCGACACUGGAAAUGAUGAAAGACAGUGUUGACAGAUUGUACUGUCCACGUGGGUACGGUCAAUAAAAACAGCGAGUCGGCCAGGGUUGCGAAAUGACACUCUAGACAGGGUAACACGAUUAUGAGAGAACAUUAAUAUUUAUGAUCCACUGAAGAGAGCGUUGAGUAAAAAUUGGUUAAAUGUAAAACUUUUCUGUUGUGACUUUAAUAAAAUAUGGAAGGCCUUGCUACAGAUAGUAAACACGAGCCUCUUAAAAUGCCAGAACUGGAAUAAGAUUAAUUACCCCUUUAAACCCUCCCCUCCCAGUGGAAUAAAAAGGAGGAUCAGUCUAACGAAUAAAUGUGUUCCCUUUCCCUUCCUUCCCUCUCCAGUUCUGUUAAUAAAAAUAAGAAAUAAAUAAA